AGAACGAACGCUGGCGGCAGGCUUAACACAUGCAAGUCGAGCGCCUCGGCAACGGGGAGCGGCAGACGGGUGAGUAACGCGUGGGAACAUACCCCAAGGUUCGGAAUAACUCAGGGAAACUUGAGCUAAUACCGAAUAUCUCCGAGAGGAGAAAGAUUUAUCGCCUUGGGAUUGGCCCGCGUCCGAUUAGCUAGUUGGUGUGGUAAUGGCGCACCAAGGCGACGAUCGGUAGCUGGUCUGAGAGGAUGAUCAGCCACAUUGGGACUGAGACACGGCCCAAACUCCUACGGGAGGCAGCAGUGGGGAAUAUUGGACAAUGGGCGCAAGCCUGAUCCAGCCAUGCCGCGUGAGUGAUGACGGCCUUAGGGUUGUAAAGCUCUUUCGCCCACGACGAUAAUGACGGUAGUGGGAGAAGAAGCCCCGGCUAACUUCGUGCCAGCAGCCGC
rnacentral:rRNA from 1 species